rnacentral:piRNA from 1 species
UAGGCAUGCCGUGCCUUUCAU